rnacentral:rRNA from 1 species
AUUGCGAUGGAACACGUUGAGAAUCCUGUUGAGGGUAACAAUGGAACUCCUGUGAGGAGUAAGAGACAGAGGACUGCAAAGUCCUUUGGUGAUGAUUUCAUUGUAUACCUCGUGGAUGACACACCCAGGACUAUUUCAAAAGCCUAUGCAUCCCCUGAUGCUGACUACUGGAAGGAAGCUGUACGUAGCGAGAUGGAUUCCAUCUUAGCUAACGGUACCUGGGAGAUCACUGACCAUCCUUAUGGGUGCAAACCUGUAGGAUGUAAGUGGGUGUUCAAGAAGAAGCUUAGACCUGAUGGUACGAUUGAAAAGUACAAGGCACGACUUGUGGCCAAGGGUUAUACCCAGAAAGAAGGUGAAGACUUCUUUGAUACUUACUCACCAGUGGCUAGACUGACCACAAUUCGGGUGCUACUAUCACUGGCUGCCUCACAUGGUCUUCUCGUUCAUCAAAUGGACGUUAAGACGACUUUCCUCAAUGGAGAGUUGAAGGAGGAAAUUUACAUGGAUCAGCCAGAUGGUUUUGUAGUACCUGGUCAAGAAGGAAAGGUGUGCAAGUUAUUAAAGUCUUUAUAUGGCCUUAAACAAGCUCCUAAGGAGUGGCAUGAGAAGUUCGAAAGAACAUUAACUGCUGUCGGCUUUGUAGUAAACGAUGGUGACAAGUGCGUGUACUAUCGCUAUGGUGGGGGCGAAGGAGUUAUUCUUUGUCUGUAUGUCGACGACAUAUUGAUCUUUGGAGCCAAACUUGAUUUAAUCAAGGAGGUUAAGGAUUUCUUAUCUCGCUGUUUUGAGAUGAAGGAUCUAGGAGUAGCUGAUGUUAUCUUAAACAUCAAGCUGUUGAGAGAUGAGAAUGGUGGGAUCACACUGCUUCAGUCUCAUUAUGUGGAAAAGGUCUUGAGUCGUUUUGGGUAUAGCGACUGCACACCUUCUCCAACUCCAUAUGAUGCUAGUGUUGCCACGAGGCCUGACAUCUCUUUUGCUGUGAGCAAGCUGAGUCGGUUUGUGUCAAAACCGGGAGAUGAUCACUGGCAUGCGCUUGAGAGAGUUAUGCGCUAUUUGAAAGGCACCGCGAGCUAUGGGAUUCACUACACCGGGUAUCCAAGGGUACUGGAGGGUUAUAGUGACUCAAACUGGAUAUCUGAUGCUGAUGAGAUUAAGGCCACAAGUGGUUAUGUUUUUACACUUGGUGGUGACACUGCCACUGUUGAAGCAAAGUGGCUUCGUGAACUCUUGAUGGACUUACCUAUGGUUGAAAAACCAAUACCCCCUAUCCUGAUGAACUGUGAUAAUCAAACUGUGAUCGUCAAGACAAACAGUUCUAAGGACAAUAUGAAGUCCUCAAGGCAUGUGAAGAGGAGACUAAAAUCUGUCAGAAAAUUGAGGAACUCCGGAGUUAUUAAGUUGGAUUAUAUCCAAACGUCGAAAAACUUGGUAGAUCCCUUCACAAAGGGUCUAUCACGUAAUGUAAUAGAUAAUGUAUCGAUGGAGAUGGGUUUGAGACCCACC